rnacentral:rRNA from 1 species
AUGGCGAAGAUCUGCAGCGGCGGUGCUUCCUCCGGGAGGAGGGUGGGGAAGAGGAUGAAGAAGAGGAAGGCUGCGCAGCUUCACGAUCUGCCAGAUGAUAUUCUUGUCGACGUGCUGUCGCAUUUGGGGUUCGCGGACGCCGCACGCACGAGCGUACUGUCGAGCAGGUGGAGGCGGCUCUGGCGACUGUGCAACAGAAGGAACCUGGUCUUCACCAGGGAGACAAUGUUCCGGCCCAGAAGCCCGGCGCAAGGCGAAGAAGACUUCGUCAGAAACGUCGACAGUGUGCUACGCGCCUACGCCAGCUCAGUCCCACCGACCCCAGGGACAAGUUCGUGCUCGAGUUCAGGUUCAUUCAAUCCAACGUGGAGUGCUAUGUCGACCUAUGGGUCGCCUUCUGCGCGGCGUCCACGGCGAAGGACAUUGUGUUCGAUUUUAAUCCGGGAUCAUGGGGCACCUACUGGCUCAGCUUCCCACUGA